rnacentral:antisense_RNA from 1 species
ACUAAUAAUACAAAAAUUAGCAGGGCAUGGUGGCGCAUGCCUAUAAUCCCAG